GAUGAACGCUGGCGGCGUGCCUAAUACAUGCAAGUCGAGCGAACAGACGCGGAGCUUGCUCCUCUGACGUUAGCGGCGGACGGGUGAGUAACACGUGGAUAACCUACCUAUAAGACUGGGAUAACUUCGGGAAACCGGAGCUAAUACCGGAUAAUAUAUUGAACCGCAUGGUUCAAUAGUGAAAGACGGUUUUGCUGUCACUUAUAGAUGGAUCCGCGCCGCUUUAGCUAGUUGGUAAGGUAACGGCUUACCAAGGCAACGAUGCGUAGCCGACCUGAGAGGGUGAUCGGCCACACUGGAACUUGGACACGCACCAGACUACUGCGGGAGGCAGCAGUAGGGAAUCUUCCGCAAUGGGCGAGAGCCUGACGGAGCAGCGCCGCGUGAGUGAUGAAGGUCUUCGGAUCGUAAAACUCUGUUAUGAGGGAAGAACAAAUGUGUAAGUAACUAUGCACGUCUUGACGGUACCUAAUAAGAAAGCCACGGCUAACUACGUG
rnacentral:rRNA from 1 species